rnacentral:rRNA from 1 species
GACGAACGCUGGCGGCGUGCUUAACACAUGCAAGUCGAACGGUGAAGGGACCGGUUUUUGCUGGUUCUGGAUGAGUGGCGAACGGGUGAGUAACACGUGAGUAACCUGCCCCCUUCUUCUGGAUAACCGCAUGAAAGUGUGGCUAAUACGGGAUAUUCUGCGCCUGCUGCAUGGUGGGUGUGGGAAAGAUAUUGUUUCGGUGGGGGAUGGGCUCGCGGCCUAUCAGCUUGUUAGUGGGGUGAUGGCCUACCAAGGCGGUGACGGGUAGCCGGCCUGAGAGGGUGGACGGUCACACUGGGACUGAGACACGGCCCAGACUCCUACGGGAGGCAGCAGUGGGGAAUAUUGCACAAUGGGCGCAAGCCUGAUGCAGCGACGCCGCGUGAGGGAUGGAGGCCUUCGGGUUGUAAACCUCUUUCGCCAGUGAAGCAGGCCUGUCCCUUUUGUGGGUGGGUUGACGGUAGCUGGAUAAGAAGCGCCGGCUAACUACGUG